rnacentral:lncRNA from 1 species
GGCAGACAGGGGAGGCCUGCAUAUACGGCACCACAUCCCUCGUCUCCCACUGCCUGACGAAGGGGGAGAACAUUGCCUUUGUCCUGAAGGACAUAGGAGUUCUCCUCAUUGAUGGAACACGAGUUCAAAUGAAAUACUACCGCAACUUCCUGGAGAGGAUUUGUGGGAAGGAGGACUUAAAAAUAGCUCUUUCCAAGGUCCCCUGCUUGAGGGACAUGGUGGUUUCCCGGGUGGCGGUGUUGGCCUCCCUGACGUUCUCCGGACGGGUCAUCGUCUUUCCCAAGUUUCAACAGGAGUUCGUACCAAAACCACCUCCCAGGAAACCCCGCGAGGCCUCAGAAGUCCCUCCGGACCAGGGCAAGAAAGGGACAUUCCCUGAAUUGCCUCCCUUGCCCGGCUGCGUCCGUGUUACUUUUCUACAAGACCCGGGAUCCAGGAAGAAAUCAGGUGUCACCACCAAGAAGUCCAGUCAGCUGCCAGCAACCCCAGAGGGGUCUUCUACCAGAACGCAGCCCGGGAAAAAGAAAGAGGGAAAAUCCACUGCGAAAAGCAAAGCAAAGAAGAUGGGUCCUGCAAAGGCAGUGGAACCAAAGAGUUACACAGAAGAACACAGAGCAGUGAAAGUCCCCACUCAAGGAGGAGUGCCAGAAAAGGCACAAGCAAACCUCCAGAGCCAUAGUGGAGCCCCAUCCCCGGUGCAAACACCAAUAGCAUCUCUAUGGUGUCGGAGCUCUGAGACCAGCCUUCUCCAGGAGCCCAACGACAAUAAGUCUGGACAGCAUCCACCGGGAUCCACGUCACAAAAACUGCUCAAGUUAAGGGGUGAGAUGUCCAGGCCAGUGCUGGAAAAGCCUCACAAGACAGCUUGGCUGACAUCUCACUCUGAGUCCAGCCUGCCUGAGGAGCACACCAG